rnacentral:ncRNA from 1 species
GGGGCCUAAAAACCUCCUUCAGGCAUAAAAGUUUGGUCCAAGCUUUAAAAUCAGUUAUUUCUUAACUUACACAUGCAAGUCUCCUCAACCCUGUGAGUAUACCCUCGCUUCCCUUACGGAAUGAGGAGUUGGUAUAAGGCGCUUUAACUCGCCCAGAACACCUAGCAAUAGCCACACCCACAAGGGAUACAGCAGUGAUUAACAUUAGUUAUAAGUGCCAACUUGAUCUAGUCAAAGAAAUGUAAGGCCGGCAAAAUUAGUGCCAGCCGCCGCGGUUACACUAUAGGCCUAAGCUGAAUUUCAUCGGCGUAAAGCGUGGUUAAAGUGCCUUGUAAAUUAGAGUUAAAUCUUAACUGAGCAGUAGAAUGCCUGUUUCCCAGAAACUCAUAAACGAAAGUUACUCUAUUACAACAACUUGAACCCACGAUAGCCAAAAUACAAACUAGGAUUAGAUACCCUACUAUGCUUGGCCCUAAACCUUUAAUUACCCCCCCCCAAUCGCCUAGGAACUACGAGCAAUGCUUAAAACCUAAUGGACUUGACGGUGCCCAACAUUCACCUAGAGGAGCCUGUCCAAUAACCGAUGCUCCCCGUUCAACCUUACCACUCCUAGCCUCUCAGCCUGUAUACCUCCGUCCCAGCUUACCAUCUGAAUGAGUUAGUAAGCUCAACCGCCACCUACUAAUACAUCAGGUCGAGGUGCAGCAAAUGGAGUGGGAAGAGAUGGGCUACACUCUCUAUCUUAGAAGACACGAAAGGUCAAAAUGCAAUCUAACCAGAAGGUGGAUUUAGUAGUAAAAAGAAAAUAGAGUAUUCUUUUUAAUUCGACACUGGGGUGUGUACACACCGCCCGUCACCCUCUUCAAAUUUUAUCAAUAGUACUUAACAAAACUUUUCCUAAAGAAGAGGUAAGUCGUAACAUGGUAAGCGCACCGGAAGGUGUGCUUGGUAAU